UGGAGCAUGAUAAUGUGAGAAAAUAAUGUGUAUGUGUAUGUGUGACCGGGUCACCCUGAUGUACAGUAGGAAAUGGACAGAACACUGUAAACCAGCUAUAAUGGAAAAAAUAGAAAUCAUUUAAAAUAUAUAUAAAAAAGGAAAACCUCAUAUGUACUAGGAUUAUGAUGUUACUAUAGCCUUCUUGGGUGUGUCCUGUUUUCUUGUGAAUAUUCAGGCUGACGCAGCUGCUUCCAAUUAACUCUACAGGAAAGAACAGACUGUGUUCCUACAUGUUAAAAAAAAAUCUGCUUUUUUUUUUUUUUUGGUUUAGGAGCCCACCGAUUUUACACCUAUGUACAUUUCCUGAUGAUACAAUAGAGCCAUCUGGUGGUAAAUGGAACCAGCCAUAAAAAUAAAGCAUUUGUUCAGUUCCUGCAACUGUUCAUACCAUACUCUGAACCAUAGGGCCCUGCCAUGGAUAUAAAUGAAACUCCAUGGGAUGAGGGGCAAAGAAAUGUCACUAUGUCUCAAAAAUAGUGUGGCUUCUAAGUCAUACAUGGCUGCAUGAUCUUUCCCUGGGUCAGCCUUGGAAGGGUGAACAUCUUGGGCCAGAAUAGGUAUUUGGGAUGACCCAGUGACCCUCAGCAUCCCCUGUAUGACUCCAAUCAUUUCAAGAGUCAGUCCAAAAAUUUCAAAACAGGAGCCUCAAAACAAAAUUCUUGUGUAUUUAUACUGGGAGGUAGUUUUAUGCUAGAAAACAUUUUGUGCAUAAAGGGGAAAUUGUGAAGAGAACAAACUAUUCCAGAGAGAUAAGGAUUCCUGAUCUAGACCGCCAUUUCCGGGGAGAAUCUUACUCAUGUUUGAUCUCAAGAGGAAGUUUUUAAAUUCUAGUGAGUAGACCCAGCAAGAUCAUCUGAUAGAUUUCUCUAGGUCAUUUUCUCCAAACAUCCCAAAUUUCUCUAGCCAAGAAGGACAACCAUUUCCAGUAAGACAAAAGCAAGGCAAGUCAAAGCCAAAUGAAACAGACUUGACUGGAGACUGUUAUGAAAUAACAUAGGACUCUGUGUACAGGUGGAUUUAAGAAAUUGGCAUGGGUUGGAGAACAGGGAGAGUCCUGACCACACUGUGAAGAAUGCAGAGCCUGUCUUCAGCAUCUUUACCCCAGAGGUCUCGGCCACUCUCCGACUUGCCCUCCUGCGCCCCCCCGCCCCCCCCAGUCCUUGGAGGGAAAGAGCCAUGGAUGUGUCUAUGCUGGGCAACACUGGUCUACACAAAGUCAAGCACUUUUUAAUGGGAGGCAGCCCCCAUUAACCAAACGAUGGCAUACAAAUUAGAUCAAGAAAAAUUUCAGAAAAAAGUGAAAACCUGGGAUUAGAAGUUUUAGAGGUGGGUAUGUGUCUUCAAGGACCCUGCACAGUUAGGUGUAGGCAGUCAUUGUCUUAGUUUUGCAGGGUGUAAUGGCAAAAGAGCAGAAAGGUGGGACUUAAACCAUCAAGUUCAUUCUGCUUCAGGCACAUGAGGAUAUACCAUAUGUAAUGCAAUUUACGUUUCUUAUGAACAUGAAACUGCUUGAAUAGUUUAAGUUUUUGAUAAGUGAAUUAUACUAAUCAAAAAGGAAAAUAUAUGCUAUAUAUAGGUAUUUGGGGAUUGUACCUGUGUCUGUGGAUUUUCAGAUGAUAAAUUCCAGCACCUCAAUGGGUAUUCAAGGAUUCUAACUUUUACUCUAUAUCUUAAACUUUUCUACCUUAAAUGUUCAUUGGUAAUCUAAGUACAAUAUGUUUCUAAGAUAACCAAGAUGAUCAGAUUGAAGGAAUACUACAGGAUAUUAAAAACUCAACAAACUUUUUGGUUUUGGUAAAUACUCUGAACUAUUAUGCAUGUGUGUUAAAAGUUGACAGCCUAAUAAAUGACAAAUUUAUGAAAAAAGGUAGGAGUGGAUUGUCUUUUAGCUGCUAAAUUUUCAGAUUUGAGAAUCUGGAGGAAAGUCUAUUCUUUGAUCUAAUUUAAUUUUUCUCUAUUUCUCUAAUUCAUCUCAGUACUUUUUCAUUGUCCCCUUCCUUAAUUUUAAGUCAGUAUUUCUUUGCCUCACAGUGACCUUGCUCUUCUUCCUUAGCUGCAUAAAUUCCUUCCACCCUUCCAGACUGGUUCAAGGUCUCUGAUUCAUCCAAAUCUUCCACCCCACUCUGAAUCCAUGUGUGGCACUUACAAAGGCCAGACAGCCCCACAAUGAACAUUUAGUAGGAGCUCAGUAAAAAGUUGUGGAUAGAAGGCUUAGAAGUCAAAGCAAGUGAUUGCACCAGAUGGAGCACCCCUUCAGGCUGAGAGGCUUUAACAGUCACUUUUUUGAGCAAUACUUUCCACCCAUCCAGCUUACAACACUGACAGGAAUCAGAACCCCAGGGAAAGUCAGCUUGUCAAGGCCAGGGGCCAGACAGUGCAGCAGAGGGCAAGGAGAUGACCAUGAGUUUGGGCAAUGAGGGCAGGGUUAAUGUAAGGAUUAAAUGCCAUAAAUCAGGUAACUUUUGGGGUGGAUGAAGUGCUCAAUUAAUAUUAUUAGUAAUAAUUCUAUUAGUGUAAUCCUUCAAUGAAAACCAUUUGAUAUUAAAACUUCCUAGUUUAUUUUUAAACCCUAAUAAAAGAAAGUCCCAGUAGAGGCACUUCUGUAACAGCAAACAGUCAAACCACAGCAGUGGGAAAUUCAGUCAAGUAUGCAGUUAGAACAGAGUUAAUAUGCUAAAUAUGAGUGUGUGUGUGUGUGUGUGUGUGUGUGUGUGUGUGUGUGUGUGCGCGCGCAUUUCUUUAAAAGCAAGAUUGCUAAAUAAAGAUGUGGUUGUGGCAAAUUCCACCUUUACAGAUGAAUAUUUUGACGUAUGUCAGUUUAAGACAAUUAAAUGUUUCUAGUAAUGUGGAACAUCUAACAUCCAUAGUUCCAGCAGCGACCCCCACCUAGUGGUGUAGUAACUUCCUGCCAGAUAAAAUGCACUUUCAACACACUUUGCAACAGCUUCCUGCUUGAUGUCUUGUCUGUCAUUACUGCAGUCUGCUCCUCUUUCCCCCCACCUGACAAGCACCCAAGGCCCUAAACUUCCUUACCCUUCUACAACCUGCUUAUAAUUGCCACGCAGAUUAAAGUCUCUUGACAGCCACCCACCUCUCAGCCCCUUACCUUUGAGCAUAAUUUUCCCAUCCCUCCCACCCCCAGUCUCUGGUGAUCAGAAUUCAUUUCAUGGUGGAAGGUUUGUCACUCUCAUGUCCUUUUGUGCUUAGCUUUUGCAGUAGUUUCUUAAGCUAAAUUGUCAGCUUCUAUUUAGGCAACAAUUUGACAAUGCAGUUUUCCUGAUUCCCAUCCAUUCUGGUGAAAACGGUAUUCCUCUGUGUGUGGGGUAGUGGUGUUAGUCACCUAAUACGAUAUUUAAAUUCAAAACUCAAACUUCGCUGUUGUCAAAGCCCAGUGGAAAGAGUUUCUAGAAAGUGCCCAUCAAUAAGGCCAUGGAAGAGGUGGUCAUGAGAAGAUGAUGGAUGAGCACUGACUAAGGAGAACUGUGCUUGUAACCUGCGAGCCCACAUUCUGGACCAGACCUGACUCUCACUGACUGCGUGACUUGGUCUUUGUAAACUUUGGGCUUCACUUCACGGAACCUCAGUUAUUUCAUCAUUAAAUGAAGAAAGUAUCAAUCAGGUUCCAGAAGAAAAUAGAUGGUCCCUCCAAUGGAGUGCCUGAGAGCAGUUUGAUGAAAGGAAUGGUGUGGAUACAGUUCAGGGUAUCAACAAAGGAUGGUGAGACGUCCCCUUGAUAAGAGGGUGCGCUGCCUCACUCCUUGACCUGAAGAGGUAGGGGGAGAGGUCAUGGGAGAGCAUUAUUACAACAUCUAGAAAGAACUUGUGGACAGGGCUAUCCAAUGAACUGAGACCUUGGGCAGAGAAAUAUACCCACUGCAACCUGUGCCCACGCAGUGGUGGUGGAUGGACCCAGUGGAAUAAAUACCCUGAUCCUCCUCUCAUCCUCUGUACCGUUGUCUGUAUCUUCCUUGGGGCUGAACCCAAUGAGAAGCCAGAGGGCAGGAGAGUCUUGAGGACAAGUCCAGAGAGACCAGCUCCCUGGAAAAGAGUGGGGGGGCAGGGAGAUGGUGGAGAGAGGGUAUGGAGUUGGAAGCAAAGAAAUCUCUGGCAAAGGGGGUUUAAUUCUAUUAGUGGCUCUCAAAUGCCAGCCCAAAGAUCAUUGCUCAUUUGUGAUAACAUUUUUUUUCACCAGUCAGCAAGAAAAGGACGAAAACAAACCUUUUGAAAAGAACGUUGUGAAUUUUUCAUGAAGCCAAGUUUAUUGCAUUUAGUGAGCUGUCCCGUUUUCUGAGAUUAUGAUCAUUCUCUAUAUUUUGGUGUUAAGAGAGUGUUUCUUUAACAGAUGAUGGUGAUAGUAGGUGAGAAAUGCGUUUUGAUAUUUUU
rnacentral:lncRNA from 1 species